UCACAUUGCUCUGGCUCUUCUUCAGAAGAUGAAGUAUAACUUUCUUCAUGAAGAACCCUGAGGUCUUCACUUGUUGAUGAUCCAUCUUCCUCAGUUUCAGAUAUUUCUGGAGAUGAAUUUAAGAGAAUCUUAUAUAAAGAAUCUUUGAUAUGAUCAUCUAAGUAAAGUUCUCUAAUUUUAUUCUUGACCUUACACUCAUUAACAAAGUGUCCCAAUCUUCCACAUUUAUAACAAGCCUGGGGUUUUUUUAUUUAGCAAAACCCUUAUUGGCUUUAUGAAAAGCCUUUCUCUUUUGGGUCUUUUCACGCCGUUUUUCUGACGAACCGUUGAUUCUUUUUAAAUCCUUUUUCUUAUGGGCUCUCUUUCCAUUAGAAGGCAUAUCUAUAGCGAAUUGUUCACAAAAUUCGCCCAAUUGCUGUCUCUCAGUGAGACGAUGUUUCUUUAUUUGUUGGUUUAGCUUUAUUUCAUUACAUAAAGUUAAGACUUCCUGAGUGCAUACACUAAUCAAUUUACCAUAUGAGUAAGUAUCAUAAUUAAUACUCAUGACUGUCCCUCUAAGGACCUUUCUAACCCUUUCAGCAAAUAAGGGAGGGAGUCCUUCUAUAAAUUUAGACUUCCAAUGAGAACUAUUAAUCUCUGGUAAUUCC
rnacentral:lncRNA from 1 species